rnacentral:rRNA from 1 species
UUAAAUUGAAGAGUUUGAUCAUGGCUCAGAUUGAACGCUGGCGGCAGGCCUAACACAUGCAAGUCGAGCGGUAGCACAGAGAGCUUGCUCUCGGGUGACGAGCGGCGGACGGGUGAGUAAUGUCUGGGAAACUGCCUGAUGGAGGGGGAUAACUACUGGAAACGGUAGC